rnacentral:rRNA from 1 species
GAGUUUGAUCGUGGCUCAGAUUGAACGCUGGCGGCAUGCCUUACACAUGCAAGUCGAACGGCAGCACGGGAGCUUGCUCCUGGUGGCGAGUGGCGAACGGGUGAGUAAUGCAUCGGAACGUAUCCUGGAGUGGGGGAUAACGUAGCGAAAGUUACGCUAAUACCGCAUAUUCUGUGAGCAGGAAAGCGGGGGACCUUCGGGCCUCGCGCUCUUGGAGCGGCCGAUGUCGGAUUAGCUAGUUGGUGAGGUAAAGGCUCACCAAGGCGACGAUCCGUAGCAGGUCUGAGAGGAUGAUCUGCCACACUGGAACUGAGACACGGUCCAGACUCCUACGGGAGCAGCAGUGGGAAUUUUGGACAAUGGGGGCAACCCUGAUCCAGCCAUGCCGCGUGAGUGAAGAAGGCC